rnacentral:rRNA from 1 species
GACGAACCGUGGCGAACGUUGUUCGGAAUCACUGGGCUUAAAGGGCGCGUAGGCGGUCUACCAAGUCGGGGUUGAAAUCUUUCGGCUUAACCGGAAAGUGGCUUCGAUACUGGUAGACUGGAGGGAGGCAGGGGCGGAUGGAACUUCCGGUGGAGCGGUGGAAAUGUGUUGAUAUCGGAAGGAACGCCAGUGGCGAAAGCGGAUCCGCUGGACCUC